rnacentral:lncRNA from 1 species
AUGUGGAAAGAUCCCUCCUGGGAGUGUGGCCAUCCCCCAAGGGAACACAGCUUGGCUUCACGCCCCAUGCCUGGGGACACCGUGGCAGCAGGGCUUCCCAGCAGAAGUGACCAACCCCUUGCACCAGUCCAUUUGCCACAUUUCAGGGGUGAGCAAACCAUCAGCACUUCCCAUGGCUCGACUGGAAGUGAUUCUGAGGAUGUUUGCACAGCUGUGGGAACAGGGGCCAUUCCCAGGCCACCUUUUAGUGCUGCCAGCUGGGAAGUGCAGCAGACCCAGCGAUGGCUGGGAGGGGUUUAUCCUCUAGGAGACCCCACCACCCUGCAUCUAUCACAGACUCCUGCUGUGUGAGGAUAAGCUUCCUGAGGCUACACAAGGUGCAGAACCCACCCAGAGCAGACUGGGUCAGAGCAGUGUAAUUGUGGAAGGGGAAUUUCAGUCCUUGGACUUGGAAAGGCUUCUAAGGACAAAGUGGAGGAAGGCCUUCCCACCUCACCUGCAGCUUUCCAGUGGCCCAAAGCAUCACACCAAACCUCAAGAAGAGCCAAGUCAGCCUCCACCUGCCCACUGAGGACUGUCCCCUGCCCCAGAUGUGCCUGAGAGCCCUUGCACCAUCUCGGAGGAGCCAUGGCCAGGGAGUGUUCUCCAGCUUGGAUCUCCAGGACACGAGCUCCUCGUACCUCCAAACCACCUGGUGUCCUCCACACCCUAAACUCUUAUACCUUGGGGUGCUGCUGGAAAUAUUUCCCCAUUUCCCAGUUUGGAAACACUUGCUGAACCAAGACACAAGUACCUCACCAGCACCAGGAGUGAAAUGCUGGUGCUGAGAGAGUCUCUGCUCUCUGUUUGUUAUUUGCUUUCCCUGUGUGCAAAGGAAGAACACCAACCCUGCUUCUCAGAGUUACAAUUAGUUGCUUCCAUGGAGAGGUACAGUAAAAACAAAAAUAUUAAUGGUAGCAGUAGACUGUUCUCUCUCUUUCUCUAAAGAUUCAAACUUUACAGAGUCACCUACCAGACCAAUCCACGAGUGAAUUUUUGUUCAAAAACUAUGCAUGAAAAAUACCAAUAGUUAUUCUACAGCCUUCUUGUACUACUUUUAUCAGUAGUAGUACUUACAUCUCAUUUAACCCCAUUUUUACUUCUGGCAAAUUUAUCAGACCCUGAAAUGUGGUUUUCUGAACUAGACAUUGCACAUUAACACCAACCUAAUAUUUAUGAUCAUGGUGGAAAGAAUUCAAGCAGAGCAUAUUGGGGUUUUUUUGGUGAUCAGCAAUGCCACUGAUGCCUGGCACACACGAGUUCUCACGUAUGUACAUGUGUGCAGAUGUGUUCUGGUAAAUCACCUCGGGCCCAGCGUUACGGGAAGAACACGGCUGAAGCCACGGCGUAGGAUUGUGCAGCUCACAUGUGCUUUCAUUUUGGUCACAUAACCACAUUUCAGAACAAAAUGCUUUCUCUAUAUUCUGUAAAACUAGCUCGAGAUAGAUGAUAAACGGAAAUAACCCAUUAAUCAGAUUGUCAAUGAACGUUCUGAGAAUUAAAAUACAAAUCCUGGACAAAUUUAGUCAUCAAUUUCGCAAAACAUCUUUGGCAUGGGAAGUCGGAGAUCUUUUUGAGGUCUAAAAGGUUGAUUUCUUGGGUUUCUUAAAAGCAGAAACAACACUUGCCACACACAGUUUCAAUCAGGCUUCUUGUUCUGUUUUCUAAUUUCAUUUCAUCCCACUUUAACAUGGCGUUUUCCACCUCCCUCAGACCUUCCCACAGAAUCAGUCAGGAGGAAGAAACACUUGAGUAGCUUGUGCAAGCACGAUGGCUGAGCUGGUCACAGCGCUUGUCCUGGACACAUUAACCAAUUUUGCAGCAAAAAAACAGGCACAAUUUUCAGAUUGUGGUGUUGAACAUUAAUCCAAACUAUACUACAGAAAGCUGUCCUCAAAACCAUGUAUUAUCUGUGACCAGGUUUGGUGAUGCCAAAUAAGAACAGGAAAAAGAAAACCAAAACAGCUCCUAAGAUUUUAUUUUCCACUUGGGAAAUUUUCACAUCAGUGAAAUGAACAGCGUUUUGCUUCAGUAGGUGCAUUUCUUUCGGGGUCAUCUUUUGCUCAGCAGGAGUGGACAAGGAUGAAAUGGGAUUUAUGGGGCUUUUAAUUUUUAUUCUUUAAUGUUUCUAUUUUCUUGUUCAAAUAUAUUUUUAUUUAAUGUUUUGAAAUAUGGCUUCCCAGUUCAACCUCAUUUUAGUUUCACAAAGUAAAUGCAAUUUAUGUGUUGCAGUGAAAGAAAAUACAAAAAGAAAGAAUGAAAGUAGUGAAAUUUUUCAUAUUUCAGGCAAGAGCAAAAUUUUUAUCUAACCUGAAAUAUUUUCCAUGCUUGCUUAAAAAUCCAUAAAAUGAGCAAUUGCUCAUCAGCUUAAGAGUUAUAUAUGCGAAAUCUCAUGCACACAAGUCAGGGCCAACACACGACUGAAGAUUUCUAACCAUUUGUUAAAUUUCCCACUCUGCAAGUGCCAAAGGAUUGAAGAGUGAAAAUGAACGAGGGAAGACAAGGUUCCAAGUCACUAAACUGUAGAUGUCACAAUCUCUUCUGUAGGGAGAUACUACAGUUGCACCCAAGUGAGGAGAAAACUCUGCUGCCUUUACACCAACACAGGAUGUUUGACUUUUAACAGAAAGAAAACGGCAAAGGAAAGUGCAGAUAACGAGAAGAAAAAGCAGCUCUACAAACAGACCACAAACUUUUAUCCUGGUACUGUUGAGCUGCAUAAAACUGUGCAUCAGCUGCUGAUGUUACACUGUCAAACAGUCUAUUGGCUUGGUAUGCACUUUAACAAACACGGGUGGAAGUCAUUUUAUGAAUUAGGAACUUUAGCUACUGAGACAAACACACAGACAGUGUCUUCCUGUGCCCACAGAACAGCUUAGUUAGACUGAAACUCUGACUAAACACAUUCAGUCAGCACACAGUAGUAGCUGAGUUUUUUAUGUCUUCAAAUGCAAACUCUUAUCAAAUAUCCUAAGUACUAUGGGGCAAAUCAGAUCCUUGUUGUUCCAUUUAUUUAACAUUUGAUAAAACCAGUAAAGAGAUCAAACAGCAGGUUCCAGGAAUCUUUGGAUUUGCAUUUUUUGUUAAUGGAGGGUUUAAACCUCCAUUAUUUAAGGCAUUUUAUGAUCUCUCUGCAAUUAUAUGAGUGUCAUUUCAAUUUUGCUAUAAUCUAAUAUAGAAAAGGCAAAUAUACUGCACACUGUAUUGCUGUGAGCCAUGUCCUACAGGUACCACCCAGGAGUGAUAGGCAAGGUCACAAAGUUAGUCUUACACUUUCAAAACACUACCCAGCCCUUAAAUAACUCUCACAUCACCCCCUGCACCAUUUGCUGUUCAUAAAUGAGGAAAGCAAGGCCCAGAAAUGGAACAGAAUUGCUGUGUAGGGAUGCAGCAACCUGGAAAGAUUGGAAAGUUGGAAGUUCCUGAUUUCUCCACCUGACCACUGAUUUUUUCUUCUGUUUGUCCUUGGUCCAAUUAUCAUGAGGGGAUUGCUCCUGUGCUCCUAGAUUUUAGCAAUUCUGUUUAAAAGUGCCAUUUCAAAGUGGAGGUAAAUUUCCACUGGAGAUAAAAUUAUAAAUCUCUAAACUUCAUAACAACCAACCCCUCUGAUCUUCACACUUGCCCAUGGAGAAGAUGCAGAGGGGCUGAAGCAGGGUAAGGGUGUUAGACUGAAGGCUUCAAACACUGAAAGGUACCUUUCCUCUUCCCCUGGAGUCUGAAAAACCUGGAUUUGGUUUGGAUUUCUUUUUCUAAAAUGCUGAACUAAAUACUGAAUUCACUCCAUUUAUCCCAAACCUUGUCAAAGGUUUUUGUUUGAAAAUGAGAACUACUAUUUUAUUAUGAGUAAACAUAUAACAUAUCUCUGUUACACCACUAAAAUACUCUGAAAAUAAAUAAAAUUUCUUUUUUUUUCUUAGCACUUUCUCCAUCCUUGAUCUGCACUUGUUCAUGGCAUACACCAAAAGUCUUUCACUGGUACUAACACACUUCACUGACAUGCAAUUUAUACAUCUGUAACAAACAAAAGAAGAAAAUUUUGGUGUCUUUAUUUACUGAAUUUCCAAAAGUGUAAUUUUUUUAGUGUUAAUACAUAAAUCCGGGACAAAUUUAAAAUAAAUUUGUAAACUAUGAGUAUUUUGGCAAAAAAAAAAAUUUUUUUUUUUUUAAAGAGCAAACUGGAAGAGCAAAAGACAACAAAAAGACUGACUGUCUUUUUAAAUUUCUACUGUGUCCACAUGCCAGUGCAGCUUUGCCAGCUUC